GAUCCUGGCUCAGGACGAACGCUGGCGGCGUGCCUAACACAUGCAAGUCGAACGGGGCUAGGAAAGCUUGCUUUCCGAAGCCUAGUGGCGGACGGGUGAGUAACGCGUGAGUAACCCGCCUUUCAGAGGGGAAUAACGUUCUGAAAAGAACGCUAAUACCGCAUAACGUACAGUUACCGCAUGGUAGCAGUACCAAAGGAGCAAUCCGCUGAAAGAUGGACUCGCGUCCGAUUAGCUAGUUGGUGGGGUAAAGGCCU
rnacentral:rRNA from 1 species